rfam:Dipodomys ordii contig_54569, whole genome shotgun sequence.
GGGAAGGUGGCUCAGUGGUAGAGCGCUUGCCUUGCAUGCAUGAAGCCCUGGGUUCGAUUCCUCAUGCACCCC